UACGAAGGGGGCUAGCGUUGCUCGGAAUGACUGGGCGUAAAGGGCGCGUAGGCGGUUUGCACAGUCAGGCGUGAAAUUCCUGGGCUUAACCUGGGGGCUGCGCUUGAUACGUGUGGACUGGAGUGCGGAAGAGGGUCGUGGAAUUCCCAGUGUAGAGGUGAAAUUCGUAGAUAUUGGGAAGAACACCCGUGGCGAAGGCGGCUCUCUGGGAUGGUACUGACGCUGAGACGCGAAAGCGUGGGGAGCGAACAGG
rnacentral:rRNA from 1 species